UACGGAGGGUGCACGCGUUGUUCGGCAUUACUGGGCGUAAAGCGCGUGUAGGCGGUUUCCUCAGUCUGGUGUGAAAGCCCGGGGCUCACCCCCGGACGUGCAUCGGAUACUGGGAGACUUGAGUACCGGAGAGGAGGGUGGAAUUCCUGGUGUAGCGGUGAAAUGCGUAGAUAUCAGGAGGAACACCGGUGGUGAAGGCGGCCCUCUGGACGGAUACUGACGCUGAGACGCGAAAGCGUGGGGAGCAAACGGG
rnacentral:rRNA from 1 species